UCGAGCAGAUUUACAAGUAGGAGGAUGGUGUUUGGUCUUACUCUAAAGCUACUGCUAGAAAGAAUUGAUCCCUCACGACUCGAUUAAGAUGGUACAAACUCUAUACUUUCCUCCUCAUUCUGCUUCAUGAGGAGAGAGGCAAUCUGUCAAAGAGUUGAAGGAGAAGACAGAAGAACUUAAAGGUCACAUGAAGACCUAAAAGUUAGGCUGGGUGGCCAAUUCAAUGGAUGGCCUGAGACGGUGAAAUGACGAGUGUAGAACAAAGUA